AAAGUCGUAACAAGGUCUCCGUAGGUGAACCUGCGGAGGGAUCAUUAGCGAGAGCGCCCCGCGCGUCGCGCCCCGGAUAGAGCCCCCCGCUGCCUCGGCCGGCCCCGCCGGCCGGAGGAGACCCCCAGGACCCGCGGUCCGAGGACGCCCAAGCAGAAAAACCUGCGACAACGGAUCUCUUGGCUCCG
rnacentral:misc_RNA from 1 species